UGCUCUACUCCUUACUCAUAACAAGAUGCUUUGCUGCCUAAGUCUUGUGAGCUAUGAAUUGAGGCACUGUUACAGCAUGAUGAACAUUUCGAGCAUUUAAGCACCUUAGUUCUGUCUUAACCCCAAGCACUCCCUCCCCCCCUUCUCUCAACCUCAACUAAAUAUGAAGUGGAGAAAAGAAAAGAAAGUACCUUAAUUUGGGUGAGUAAACAUUAUUAGUUUGACAUUUAUAAAGGAUCUUGAAGGUAAUGAAGUUUGGUUCAUAUACUUGACUGCAUUGCGUAACAUGAGGAUAUUCUGGGGCUGGUUGUUCUCCAAAUUACUAAUUCUAAUACUGAAAAUAUUGAAGGCAGUUCUUUCUCUCUUUGUUGUCAUUAAAAACAGGAUAAAAUGUCUGAGAUUAGGAGUUUUUCAACUCUUAUAUGCUGGAGCACGCAAACUUCAACUCUCUAUUUGUAGAAUUGCAAUUGGUUUUCUGGUGAUACGGCCAAUUAAUUUA
rnacentral:misc_RNA from 1 species